UCCAUAAUAUGAUCUGACAUUUGGCGCAGGCAUCGAUGCGUCGAAAACAAACUAGCUGUUCUAAAAAAGUCAGCUCCAGCUUGGGCCCUUUGUUUAUUAAUCAAUUUACUGCUAUUUCUUGUGAAAAUUCAUAGUCCUUAAACAAUUUUAUUCUCGAUACAUCCAUAAAUAUUAUGGAUGACCCGGGACGUAUGAUGGGACACGCUGGGGCCGGUCUGAUGGCCCCUCAACCCUACGGAAUGGGUCCCCAAGGUGAAGCUCCUUCAGGGGAAAACGAGCCCCGCAAGCAAGACAUUGGAGAGAUAUUACAGCAAAUAAUGAACAUCACUGAUCAGAGUCUUGAUGAGGCCCAAGCGAGGAAGCACACUUUAAACUGUCACCGAAUGAAACCAGCCCUGUUUUCUGUUUUGUGUGAAAUUAAGGAAAAGACUGUUUUGUCUCUACGGAAUACCCAAGAGGAGGAACCACCAGAUCCACAAUUAAUGAGGCUUGACAACAUGCUGAUAGCUGAAGGAGUUGCAGGACCUGAAAAAGGAGGCGGGGCUGGUGCUGCUGCUUCAGGUUCAGCAGCGGCUCAGGCAGGCCAACCAGACAAUGCCAUAGAACACUCAGAUUAUCGAGCUAAACUGGCCCAAAUUAGACAAAUUUACCAUCAAGAGUUGGAAAAAUAUGAGCAGGCUUGUAAUGAAUUUACCACCCAUGUUAUGAAUUUAUUGAGGGAGCAGUCACGAACUAGACCUAUUACCCCAAAAGAAAUUGAGAGAAUGGUUCAGAUUAUCCAUAAAAAGUUUAGUUCUAUUCAAAUGCAGUUGAAACAAUCCACUUGUGAAGCUGUUAUGAUUUUGAGGUCGCGUUUUUUGGAUGCAAGGCGUAAAAGAAGAAAUUUUAGUAAACAAGCCUCAGAAAUUUUGAAUGAAUAUUUUUACUCUCAUUUGAGUAACCCUUAUCCCAGUGAGGAAGCAAAGGAGGAGUUGGCUAGAAAGUGUGGCAUCACUGUGAGUCAAGUAUCCAAUUGGUUUGGCAAUAAAAGGAUUAGGUACAAGAAGAACAUCGGCAAGGCACAAGAGGAGGCGAACCUGUACGCGGCCAAAAAAGCGGCCGGGGCGUCGCCGUAUUCAGGCACCGCGACGCCCAUGAUGUCGCCGGCGCCACCUCAAGACUCGAUGGGUUACUCGAUGGGGUCGUACGACCAGGGCAGCGCGUACGACGCCAGCAGCUGUGGGUACGAUCCUAUGCACGGCCAGGAAUUGUCUCCGUAAAAUAAAUAAAAUCACGGCGAUUUUUUGCUGCCGGUUCUGCUUUGCCCCGUUUUUCAGUUUUUUCAUAAAUCUCUAGACAGUAUGUACCCGAAACUAGAACAGUAGUCCGGCAUAAAACAACACCCGGCAGCUCUGCAAUACAUAUUUUAAGUAUGGAAAAAUUAAUAAUAAGAAUAGUUAAUUAUUAAAAAAUGGGCGGUUUUUCCCUCAUUUGUUCUGAAAUACGUAUACUAUGCCCCUAAUGUAUACCAUGCAAAUGUAUACUAUUGAAAAAACCCUUACUUUAUACCGUAUCGAAAAUGUGCAUUAUUUAGUUUUUUACGUAAACUUAUUCUACGUAUUACUACUUAGGUAGGAUUUUAGAUUUUUUUAAUAGGAUUUUUUUGUGGAUGCUUAGCAACAUUUUUUUGGCGGGGAAACUGUACACAUCACUAUACUGUCAUUAUGAACUAGACCACUGAUUCUUUCAAUUUGCCGUUUAAAGGUUCUCCCUUAAAAAUGUUGCCAGCUGGAUACAAUCAGUAUUUUUUUUAUUUAUAUUGUUUAUAUUAAACUUUUAUUUUCAAUCCUUAGCAACUAUUUUACAAUGCAUCAAAUUGUUUUUCUUUUUGUUAUGAUUUUAUGUAUUGAAUUUUUUUAAGCAGCUUUAAUCUUGUUUAUUUCCCGUAAUCUUUAUCGUAUAGUGAAGUAUUUUAGAAAUGACUAUUUUUUAUGUAAAAAAUUUUGAUUGUCUCGAUAUUGAAAUACAAUAAAGGUGACGCUAAAAAUGAA